rnacentral:rRNA from 1 species
AAAACAUGUCCUUUAGAAUUUAAUUUAAGGUCUAGCCUGCCCACUGAUUUAAAUGGCCGCAGUAUUUUAACUGUGCAAAGGUAGCAUAAUCAUUAGUCUUUUAAUUGAAGGCUUGUAUGAAUGGUUGGACGAGAUAUUAGCUGUUUCAUGGAAAUUUAUUUAGAAUUUUAUUUUUUAGUUAAAAAGCUAAAAUUUUUUUAAAAGACGAGAAGACCCUAUAGAUCUUUAUAAUUCAUUUGUUAUAAUUAUUUAGAUAAGUUAAGUUAUUACAAUUUUAAUUAUUUUGUUGGGGUGACAUUAAAAUUUAAUUAACUUUUAAUAUAUUUUUACAUUGAUGUAUGAUUAUUUGAUCCAUUAUUAAUGAUUAUAAAAUUAAGUUACCUUAGGGAUAACAGCGUAAUUUUUUUGAAGAGUUCAUAUCGAUAAAAAAGAUUGCGACCUCGAUGUUGGAUUAAGAUAUAAUUUUGGGUGCAGCAAUUCAAUAAUUAAGUCUGUUCGACUUUUAAUUUCUUACAUGA